CCAGGAGGUUGGCUUAGAAGCAGCCAUCCUUGAAAGAGUGCGUAAUAGCUCACUGGUCAAGUGAUUCUGCGCCGAUAAUGUAGCGGGGCUCAAGUACACCGCCGAAGUUAUGGCAAUCAGUCCUUGUGGCUGGUUGGGUAGGGGAGCGUCCUGCAUGAGGUGAAGCUGCCACGGGAGUGUGUGGUGGAUUGUGUGGGAGUGAGAAUGCAGGCAUGAGUAGCGAAUCACGGGUGAGAAACCCGUGCGCCGGAUGAUCAAGGGUUCCAGGGUCAAGUUAAUCUGCCCUGGGUUAGUCGGGGCCUAAGGCGAGGCCGACAGGCGUAGUCGAUGGAUAACGGGUUGAUAUUCCCGUACCAGUGAAGAACCGUCCAUACUGAUAUUGUGAUGCUAACCAUGCCGAACACAGUGUGCUGCUCUUUUGGGUGGUGUGUUGUGGGGUGUGUGGGACCCAGGCUUUGGAGGUAAGCGUGUUAACAGGUGUGACGCAGGAAGGUAGCCAAGCCACGCGGUGGUUGUCGUGGUCUAAGCGUGUAGGAUGGUUGGUUGUUAAAUGCGCCAGCUGUGUGUCUGAGACGUGAUGGGACCCCGUUGUUGGGGGAUUUGGUGAUCCUAUGCUGUCGAGAAAAGCAUCGGCGUGAGGUUUGAGCUGCCCGUACCCGAAACCGACACAGGUGAUCAGGUAGAGAAUACUAAGGCGAUCGAGAGAAUCAUGGUUAAGGAACUCGGCAAAAUGCCCCCGUAACUUCGGGAGAAGGGGGGCCCGAACCCUGAGGCCCCGUGCGGGCUAGGGGGGUGGGUCGCAGAGACCAGGGGGAAGCGACUGUUUACUAAAAACACAGGUCCGUGCGAAGCCGUAAGGCGAUGUAUACGGACUGACGCCUGCCCGGUGCUGGAAGGUUAAGAGGAACCAUCAACCCCCCUUUUGUGGGGGUGAAGUGGUGAAUUUAAGCCCCAGUAAACGGCGGUGGUAACUAUAACCAUCCUAAGGUAGCGAAAUUCCUUGUCGGGUAAGUUCCGACCUGCACGAAUGGAGUAACGACUUCCCUACUGUCUCAACCAUGAACUCGGUGAAAUUGCAGUACGAGUAAAGAUGCUCGUUUCGCGCAGCAGGACGGAAAGACCCCGUGACCUUUACUAUAGUUUGGUAUUGGUGUUUGGGUUGGCUUGUGUAGGAUAGGUGGGAGACUGUGAAGCCGCUACGCUAGUGGUGGUGGAGUCGUUGUUGAAAUACCACUCUGGUCAAUCUGAGCGUCUAACUUCGGGCCAUGAUCUGGUUCAGGGACAGUGCCUGAUGGGUAGUUUAACUGGGGCGGUUGCCUCCUAAAGUGUAACGGAGGCGCCCAAAGGUUCCCUCAGCCUGGUUGGCAAUCAGGUGUUGAGUGUAAGUGCACAAGGGAGCUUGACUGUGAGAGUGGCGGCUCGAGCAGGUGCGAAAGCAGGGACUAGUGAUCCGGCAGUGGCGUGUGGAAGCGCUGUCGCUCAACGGAUAAAAGGUACCUCGGGGAUAACAGGCUGAUCUUGCCCAAGAGUCCAUAUCGACGGCAUGGUUUGGCACCUCGAUGUCGGCUCGUCGCAUCCUGGGGCUGGAGUCGGUCCCAAGGGUUGGGCUGUUCGCCCAUUAAAGCGGUACGCGAGCUGGGUUCAGAACGUCGUGAGACAGUUCGGUCCCUAUCCGCUGCGCGCGUUGGAGAAUUGAGAAAGGCUGUCCUUAGUACGAGAGGACCGGGACGGACGAACCUCUGGUAUGUCAGUUGUACCGCCAGGUGCAUGGCUGAUUGGCUACGUUCGGGAGGGAUAACCGCUGAAAGCAUCUAAGCGGGAAGCUUGUUUCGUGAUGAGUUCUCCUGGCACCCUUUGGGUGUGUGAGGUUCCCUGUAGAUGACGGGGUUGAUAGGCCGGGUAUGGAAGCGCUGUAAGGUGUGGAGUUGACUGGUACUAAUAGACCGAAGGCUUACAUU
rnacentral:rRNA from 1 species